rnacentral:rRNA from 1 species
AGCAGCCGCGGUAAUUCCAGCUCCAAUAGCGUAUAUUAAAGUUGUUGCAGUUAAAAAGCUCGUAGUUGAAUUUCGGGAUUAAUAUGUUGGUCGUGCCUUGGUACGUACUGGCAUUAUUGAUUCCUACCUUCUGAAGAACCUCGGUGUCAUUAAUUUGGUGUCUUGGGGAAUCAGGACCGUUACUUUGAAAAAAUUAGAGUGUUUAAAGCAGGCUCGCGCUUGAAUACAUUAGCAUGGAAUAAUGAAAUAGGACGUUUGAUUCUAUUUUGUUGGUUUCUAGGAUCGACGUAAUGAUUAAUAGGGAUAGUUGGGGGCAUUAGUAUUCAAUUGUCAGAGGUGAAAUUCUUGGAUUUAUUGAAGACUGACUACUGCGAAAGCAUUUGCCAAGGAUGUUUUCAUUAAUCAAGAACGAAAGUUAGGGGAUCGAAGACGAUCAGAUACCGUCGUAGUCUUAACCAUAAACUAUGCCGACUAGGGAUCGGAUGAUGUUAAUUUUUAAUGACUCAUUCGGCGCCUUACG